CCUACGGGGCGCUGCAGUGGGGAAUAUUGGACAAUGGGCGAAAGCCUGAUCCAGCCAUGCCGCGUGUGUGAAGAAGGCCUUCGGGUUGUAAAGCACUUUCAGUGGGGAAGAAAGCCUUGGGGCUAAUACCCUCGAGGAAGGACAUCACCCACAGAAGAAGCACCGGCUAACUCCGUGCCAGCAGCCGCGGUAAUACGGAGGGUGCGAGCGUUAAUCGGAAUUACUGGGCGUAAAGCGCGCGUAGGCGGUCUGAUAAGCCGGUUGUGAAAGCCCCGGGCUCAACCUGGGAACGGCAUCCGGAACUGUCAGGCUAGAGUGCAGGAGAGGAAGGUAGAAUUCCCGGUGUAGCGGUGAAAUGCGUAGAGAUCGGGAGGAAUACCAGUGGCGAAGGCGGCCUUCUGGACUGACACUGACGCUGAGGUGCGAAAGCGUGGGUAGCAAACAGGAUUAGAUACCCUAGUAGUC
rnacentral:rRNA from 1 species